UACGGAGGGGCUAGCGUUGUUCGGAAUUACUGGCGUAAAGCGCGCGUAGGCGGACCUGCAAGUCGGGGGUGAAAGCCCGAGGCUCAACCUCGGAACUGCCUUCGAUACUGCGGGUCUCGAGUCCGGGAGAGGUGAGUGGAACUGCGAGUGUAGAGGUGAAAUUCGUAGAAUAUUCGCAAGAACACCAGUGGCGAAGGCGGCUCACUGGCCCGGAACUG
rnacentral:rRNA from 1 species